GGACGGGGGUGAUAUCACUCUAACUUGUAGUAAAGAGUGAUUGAAGUUUAUCAGAGCACAAGUCACAUGACUUGGGGCUGCUGGGAAAUUGACAAUAUGUCUAGCCCCAUGUCAGAUUUCAAAAUUUAAUAUAAAAAAAUCUCUUUGCUCUUUUGAGAAAUGGAUUUCAGUGCAGAAGUCUACUGGAGCAGAACUAUUAACUGAUUCAUUUUGAAAACAUUUUUUUUCCCAUGACCGUAUCCCUUUAAGAAAAGUGAGGUCCUGCAGCUGUUAUGACCUCCAGUAUUGCAUUACCUAGCCUAUGUGGUUUGGUGAAUUUUCAUUAAAAAAACUCCAAGGUCCCUGGGGGACCCUGUGCAAUCCAUUUUCUCUGCUGAGCUAAAAUGCUAGGCCUUUCAGGUAUUUCAUAUUAAAUACAAUGAAAACAGGGGCAUUCACCUGUAGCAGAAUCAUUUGUUCCUUCCUGGGAUUUGAUUAAUUGCUUUGGAUCUGGGCUUGUGUUGACCAUAUGUGAAAUUAGGGUUUUUGUUUUUUUUUUCCUCUUUAUGGUAUUACUAUUUUGGAAAUACCCAUGGCUACUAAUGAUUGCUAUAUUAAAUUAAGCACCUGUAUAAGGAAUUAUACACCAUAGUCUAUUUUGCUUGUUACUUGUCCCCCGAGUCAAUUCAGCUUCUAUAGAUCGUAUAAUCUCAAUAUACAUAAACUAACUUUUGUUGAAAUGUACACACCAUAGACCAGAAAGAGUAACACAAUUUAUUAAGAAUAUAAGCCCUGAUCCAAAAAGCCUUCAAAACAAACUAGAUUUGUCUUCAGUGUUCUAGGGUUUACAAAGCCUUUUUAAAUAGUCUGCACCAACAAGGUUUGUAGAGUUGCCGGAGUAAUGUUUCAAAUCCUGAAUUGCAAUAAAUGUAAAAGUUACCUAUCCGGAUGUGGCUUGUUGGAUCACUGUAAUGCCAAUAUUGCAUGAAUUUAUAAAUAUUUCCAUCUGGAUAAUAGGGCGUAUGGAUGAACCAUCCAUGUUUGUAUCAGCUCAAUGUUUGCUAAAGAAACUGAGAUGUAACCUUUUAUAGAUAAGUGGAUUAAAUGAGACUUCUCUAGCACAGGACCUCUACAACCUUUACUGUAUGGACCCAGUCAGCCUUAAUAAAGGAGUAACAAAGCAGCAACAGCUUCGUGUUCCUGAGAAGUGAAAGCAGCAUUUACUUUGCUGAUAGUGAGCAGCUUUCUCAAGGCUAGUUACAGCUGAAAUACAGAAGACAGUCUAGCAAGAGUGCAACAUCUUUUGGAGUCUACUAGAAUGAUAGCUACUAAUGGUGUGACCAAAAGCCAAUAGGUCUAGCACAGAGACCUAUAAGCAAGGGCCCUAAGUAUAGGUGAGAACAGUGAUGCGAAGAAUGUACAAGAAAAUCUUUGAUCUGAAUUGAAAGAUCUUCAAACUGGCUUUACCAUGCAAAGGAGUCUGCAGCAAAGUUAUGUUGAUACAUAAUUCCUCCAGGUUUUCUGUCUAAGGUACGUAUUAAAAUUAUCCUACUUUUUUCUUUAUUUUAUACAGUAAAGUAAAUUUCCGUGGAUUAGUAUUGCAAUUUGUUCAAGUUGUGCAAAGUAAAUACCAUUGUAUUUUAAAGAGCACAUAUUGACCAUUUCCCAGGAGAUCAUGAAGGUUACUGUUCCAUUGCAACGUGCAGCAGCAUUCUGAGAUGACAACCUUUGUGCUAUAAUCAUGUCCUGUUCUUGCACACACCUCUGGUCCCAUCAUAUUGUAUCACUUGUGCAGUAUGUUUUAGUAGGCCAGGUUCCCUGAGUAUCCGCUGCUAAUUUUUCUGGAUGCUCUCAAGCACCAAUUUGCUUUUAACAAGGUUGUUAUUGAGCCCAUAGAUGGAAUUUGGUCACAAGCUCUUGCACUUUGCCAGGCUUAUCUAAUUUUCUUUUUUCAGAAAUGGCAACAACACCAGUGUGGCUGAAUACAACAUAACUGACCUAAGGGAUAUCAUACGUGACCCCUGACUACUCGGGGGCUACUAAGGCUGCACGUCAGUCUAUAUAAAAUUGAUGAGCAUAUGAUACAAUUUAUUUAAUUGUGCUCAUAAUUCCAGUGUCAUAUUCCAGACCAUAUGGCCAGCAUAUCAUUUUAAUUUUAAAGUACAUUCUCCUUUGUCUGCAUUCAUUUUUGAUCUCCUCCAUGUAGCUUCCAUGAGGGUAGCACACGAGAAAACGAUUUUGCUCUACAAUGGCUUCUGCCCCCUCCUAUAUGGACUUCUAGGCACAGUCAAGUUAUUCCUCGUUGCAGACAGGAAUCUAUUCUGGCAAAUGGCUAAAGGCUGCUGGAAGAUGCCAUAGACAAUCAUUAUUGGUCCUGUGCUGUUCUGAGUUGCGCCUCUCUGUGCUUGAGAAUACCAAGGCCUGUUUUGAAUCCUAGUCUGGGGCUGUAAUAAACGUGUUUUUUAAAGGGUGAAGUUCCUUCUUCUGGUUAAAUCAAAUGCAAGAUAUUGGAUAAUCCUGACCACAGUAAUAACUCCCCAUACAUUGAUCCUAUGUGCAGUGGCAAACUACAUAACACAUGUUCAAAUCUAAAUGUAAAACUUGAAAUAUGGAAAUGAUUACAACUGUUUCUGUGUGUCAUGAUUGUAUUAAUACAUACACUGUUGUGUACAAGAUUUGUUCUGUACUGCAGUCAUUUCAAUUUAAUAAAAUUUCAUUUGAAAUGUG